GAGGAAAGUCCGAACUCCCGAAAGACCACACUUGCUGGAUAACGUCCAGUGCGCGUGAGCGUGAGGAUAGUGCCACAGAAAAAUACCGCCCCCUUUUUUCAGUAAUCAGUAAACAGUAAUCAGUAACGAAAGUAAAUUCACUGAUAACUUUCCACUGAUAACUGAUAACUGAUUGGGGGUAAGGGUGCAAAGGUGCGGUAAGAGCGCACCAGCAGUAUCGAGAGGUACUGGCUCGGUAAACCCCGGUGGGGAGCAAGGUGGAGGGACAAAGGUUGGUCUUUUUCCUGUCCCGUUUUUAGGAACCGCUUGAGGUAAUUGGUGACAAUUAUCCCAGAUAGAUAACCUCUAUUCCAACAAAGGUAAAAGCGAUUUUACUGCUGUUGGGAAAUACAGAAUUCGGCUU
rnacentral:RNase_P_RNA from 1 species